GAUGAACGCUAGCGGCAGGCUUAACACAUGCAAGUCGAACGGCAGCACGGGAGCAAUCCUGGUGGCGAGUGGCGAACGGGUGAGUAAUAUAUCGGAACGUGCCCAGUCGUGGGGAUAACGUAGCGAAAGCUACGCUAAUACCGCAUACGAUCUAUGGAUGAAAGCGGGGGAUCGCAAGACCUCGCGCGAUUGGAGCGGCCGAUAUCAGAUUAGGUAGUUGGUGAGGUAAAGGCUCACCAAGCCGACGAUCUGUAGCUGGUCUGAGAGGACGACCAGCCACACUGGGACUGAGACACGGCCCAGACUCCUACGGGAGGCAGCAGUGGGGAAUUUGGACAAUGGGCGCAAGCCUGAUCCAGCAAUGCCGCGUGCAGGAUGAAGGCCUCGGUUGUAACGUAGCUUUGUUACGGUAACG
rnacentral:rRNA from 1 species